AAGGAAGGAAGAGAGAGUAUUCAUUUCUUUCUUUUCUUGCAAUUGCCGUGAGUUAAGAGAAGGAAAGAAGAAAUGCUCUAGACAUUCGGCCAACUCAAAAGGGGUUGAUUAAGCUCAAGAAGUUAAAGGAGGAGAAUCAAGCAAAGGCAAAGGAAAGAACAUCGAGUAGCCGAGUUGGAACCGUUUUACCCAACACAAGGUUCCUUUGAUCCAUUUUUGUGUGCUC